rnacentral:rRNA from 1 species
GAUGAACGCUGGCGGCGUGCCUAAUACAUGCAAGUCGAACGGCAGCACGGGUGCUUGCACCUGGUGGCGAGUGGCGAACGGGUGAGUAAUAUAUCGGAACGUACCUUAUUGUGGGGGAUAACGCAGCGAAAGCUGUGCUAAUACCGCAUAAUCCCUAAGGGGGAAAGCGGGGGACCGUAAGGCCUCGCGCAAUUAGAGCGGCCGAUACCUGAUUAGCUAGUUGGUGAGGUAAAGGCUCACCAAGGCAACGAUCAGUAGCUGGUCUGAGAGGACGAUCAGCCACACUGGGACUGAGACACGGCCCAGACUCCUACGGGAGGCAGCAGUGGGGAAUUUUGGACAAUGGGGGCAACCCUGAUCCAGCAAUGCCGCGUGAGUGAAGAAGGCCUUCGGGUUGUAAAGCUCUUUUGUCAGGGAAGAAACACCGGCUCUAACACAGUCCGGGAAUGACGGUACCUGAAGAAUAAGCACCGGCUAACUACGUGCCAGCCGCCGCGGUAA